rnacentral:SRP_RNA from 1 species
AGUUGGGUCCCGCGCAAUUGAAUCUUGUGAACCCCGCCAGAUUCGGAAGGAAGCAACGGUAAGCGAUGUAUUUGGUGUGCCGCGGGUAACUCAACUUUU